rnacentral:rRNA from 1 species
GACGAACGCUGGCGGCGUGCUUAACACAUGCAAGUCGAACAAAGAGCGAUGGAAGCUUGCUUCUAUCAAUCUUAGUGGCGAACGGGUGAGUAACGCGUAAUCAACCUGCCCUUCAGAGGGGGACAACAGUUGGAAACGACUGCUAAUACCGCAUACGAUCUAAUCUCGGCAUCGAGGAUAGAUGAAAGGUGGCCUCUACAUGUAAGCUAUCACUGAAGGAGGGGAUUGCGUCUGAUUAGCUAGUUGGAGGGGUAACGGCCCACCAAGGCGAUGAUCAGUAGCCGGUCUGAGAGGAUGAACGGCCACAUUGGGACUGAGACACGGCCCAGACUCCUACGGGAGGCAGCAGUGGGGAAUCUUCCGCAAUGGACGAAAGUCUGACGGAGCAACGCCGCGUGAGUGAUGACGGCCUUCGGGUUGUAAAGCUCUGUUAAUCGGGACGAAAGGCCUUCUUGCGAAUAGUUGUUGGAUGACGGUACCGGAAAGAAAGCAGGCUUUUCGGU